rnacentral:rRNA from 1 species
CCAGACUCCUACGGGAGGUAGCAGUGGGGAAUAUUGCACAAUGGGGGGAACCCUGAUGCAGCGACGCCGCGUGAGUGAAGAAGUAUCUCGGUACGUAAAGCUCUAUCAGCAGGGAAGAAAAUGACGGUACCUGACUAAGAAGCCCCGGCUAACUACGUGCCAGCAGCCGCGGUAAUACGUAGGGGGCAAGCGUUAUCCGGAUUUACUGGGUGUAAAGGGAGCGUAGACGGCAUGGCAAGUCAGAUGUGAAAGCCCGGGGCUCAACCCCGGGACUGCAUUUGAAACUGUCAGGCUGGAGUGCAGGAGAGGUAAGUGGAAUUCCUAGUGUAGCGGUGAAAUGCGUAGAUAUUAGGAGGAACACCGGCGGCGAAGGCGGCCUGCUGGACCGUGACUGACGUUGAGGCUCGAGAGCGUGGGGAGCAAACAGGAUUAGAUACCCCUGUAU